rfam:Gossypium raimondii Chr02_contig_244, whole genome shotgun sequence.
AAUUAAAAAAUUCAUCCAUUUGUAUUAUUAAAAACUAGCGUAGUUGAUGAAAUAGUGAAACAAUAACACGUGACCUACCACGUUUAUCUCAUGCUGACAUACACUAAUUUAUUUUUAAAAGUAGAAAUGGAUGAAUUUUUUAACA